CCCAGCGCACCCCCCCUGGUUGACCCCCCCUCCCCGGAGACAGAACAGAAUGGAUGCAAAUGCCACCCCAUCACAGUCAUUGUCUAUGUAGUUUGUCUUGUGAUUAUUCUUUUGUUGCUUUUUGUUAUUAUUUUUUGUACCAUUAAAAUGCUUGAGUAAAUUUUA